AGAGUUACUGCAGUUUUUAUAUAGGAACUGUGAUUUCUCCUGCCAUGUUUUGCCACUUCUUUGGUUUUAGCUUCCCACCUCCGUGCUGUCUGAGAUUACAAGGCCUUGUUAACCAGAACAUAAGAUCUUAGUAUGACAGCUGGUUCUGUCAUAAUCUGUGAUGAUAUAAUGUGUGUCACUUCUUCUCUUGAUUCAGUCUAACCAGGACAGGGCACCCUGAGGCAUCUCCUCACCUACCCUGUAAACAACAGUGAUUUCUGAAGACUCUGAGAACUAAUGCAACUAGUUAGCCAUUUGCAAAGAUGCAGCACAGAUGUCAACACUGCUGUUAUGAACUCAAAGUUUGAAACCUUUGACUUCACGAGUGUUUCACCACUCAUGCUUCAUGGCUCACGGCUGGAAGAGCUCUUCACGGCAGCAUCCUCAGCACCACGAAUGAACAGUCAAAAACAGACAAAAAUCUCACUUGAGGUUUUUAAAAAAAUAUCCUUUGUAUUUGAUGCUUGCCCUCCUGGUCGCCUAUAAAAUGCUGUGCCCCAAAAUGGCAUUACGUGAACAAUAAUCAUUCUCUGAAAUAGAACCUCUCUCAAAUCUCCUUCACUUGUGUUUGUUGCUGUUGUGACUCUUCACCUGCUGGCCUUUAUCUAGCAAAGCAAGGUGAGUUCAAAGACGGCUCUGGAGGUCUGUAACGAUUUUAAUGAUGAGGUGAAGUUGGAAGGUCUUGUGUAUUAUGAACUUAAUGGGGCAUUCUUCUCAUUUAUGCUGACAUCCUUUACAUGGAGUUGUGAAAAGGAAAAGGUAUGGACAAGUGAUCACAAGCACUUGAUUUAUUAAGAAAUAACUGCCCCUUGGCUGUAACUGAAGGCCUGGUGAGACAAACAAAUAUGUAAUGUAAGCCCAUAGAAUCCUACUGGAGUUACAAUAGGUUUAAGUCCCCAUUGUCUUCUCCAGCUUGCCUUGCUUUGCUAUAUGAAGCCAUCAGAUAAAGAACAAUGACAAGAAUCAAUAGCAGAGCUGUGUGAAUAACUGACAUUUUGAUUUUUCCUGGCCAGGCUAAAAAAUGACGGGAGAAAUUAAUUUGCAGUUGACCUGCAAUGAAUGAUUUCCAACAUUUUUGGUAACCACUUUAAGUUAGCUGUAACAUUUUCUUCAGCCUCAGAUUAAAUAUUUUUUUUCCGUGUCUUCAGCAUCCAGAAGUUUUUAAAUUAAAAAUUAAAUUGAAGGAAAUGUUAGAACAGAAGUGGCA
rnacentral:lncRNA from 1 species